AAAUUGAAAAAAAAAUAAUGAUUAAAAAAAAAUUUCAAAUAGGAGAUUCGGGCAAGUAGCGGAACCAUGAAGAAGGAGAAGCGCCAUCGUUGAAGGGAGGCUUAUUGGCAGAGCAGCAUCGGAUGGGGAAGGAAGCAGAGACCAGUCACCUCCCAUUGCCGGCACGCUGCCACACCAGGCGCUAGCUUCUGCAUCGUAGAGACGCAACUUGUUGCAAGAGUUGUUUGCUGACAUAGCUUUGCAAGUAGAUGAUCCAGCCAGAGGAUUGACAACCAAACGAGCACUAGGCGAUUUCAAGCCCUCUUUCUGUAUCUACUUGGGGAAGUUCCACUAAAGCCUAAGCACUUGAAUAAAAUUCCAGUGCAUUUCAGGAAGUCACUGCUUCCUUCUGUCUCAGAAAGCAAUUGUUUUGCUCUGCAUUUAUUACUCUAUUGUAAAAUUAUAUUUAGAACUUUAGAGCCAUUAUUCAGCUACCAAUUACGUGAAAUUUUCUUUAAUCUGAUUUUCACUGAAGAAUGUAAUUUGUCAAUCUUUAAUUCAAGCGCAACGAGAUCUGUUUCUUCUA